rnacentral:tRNA from 1 species
GGUCCCGUAGUUCAAUGGAUAGAAUAGAAGUUUCCUAAACUUUAGAUGCAGGUUCGAUUCCUGCCGGGACCACCU